AGCUCACUGGUCGAGUCGGCCUGCGCGGAAGAUGUAACGGGGCUAAACCAUGCACCGAAGCUGCGGCAGCGACGCUGAUGCGUUGUUGGGUAGGGGAGCGUUCUGUAAGCCUGCGAAGGUGUGUCGUGAGGCAUGCUGGAGGUAUCAGAAGUGCGAAUGCUGACAUAAGUAACGAUAAAGCGGGUGAAAAGCCCGCUCGCCGGAAGACCAAGGGUUCCUGUCCAACGUUAAUCGGGGCAGGGUGAGUCGACCCCUAAGGCGAGGCCGAAAGGCGUAGUCGAUGGGAAACGGGUUAAUAUUCCCGUACUUGGUGUUACUGCGAAGGGGGGACGGAGAAGGCUAUGUUGGCCGGGCGACGGUUGUCCCGGUUUAAGCGUGUAGGUGUGUGUUCCAGGUAAAUCCGGUUCACUUUAACACUGAGGCGUGAUGACGAGGCACUACGGUGCUGAAGCAACAAAUGCCCUGCUUCCAGGAAAAGCCUCUAAGCAUCAGGUAACAUCAAAUCGUACCCCAAACCGACACAGGUGGUCAGGUAGAGAAUACCAAGGCGCUUGAGAGAACUCGGGUGAAGGAACUAGGCAAAAUGGUGCCGUAACUUCGGGAGAAGGCACGCUGACACGUAGGUGAAGUGAUUUACUCAUGGAGCUGAAGUCAGUCGAAGAUACCAGCUGGCUGCAACUGUUUAUUAAAAACACAGCACUGUGCAAACACGAAAGUGGACGUAUACGGUGUGACGCCUGCCCGGUGCCGGAAGGUUAAUUGAUGGGGUCAGCGCAAGCGAAGCUCCUGAUCGAAGCCCCGGUAAACGGCGGCCGUAACUAUAACGGUCCUAAGGUAGCGAAAUUCCUUGUCGGGUAAGUUCCGACCUGCACGAAUGGCGUAAUGAUGGCCAGGCUGUCUCCACCCGAGACUCAGUGAAAUUGAACUCGCUGUGAAGAUGCAGUGUACCCGCGGCAAGACGGAAAGACCCCGUGAACCUUUACUAUAGCUUGACACUGAACAUUGAGCCUUGAUGUGUAGGAUAGGUGGGAGGCUUUGAAGUGUGGACGCCAGUCUGCAUGGAGCCGGCCUUGAAAUACCACCCUUUAAUGUUUGAUGUUCUAACGUGGACCCGUGAUCCGGGUUGCGGACAGUGUCUGGUGGGUAGUUUGACUGGGGCGGUCUCCUCCUAAAGAGUAACGGAGGAGCACGAAGGUUGGCUAAUCCUGGUCGGACAUCAGGAGGUUAGUGCAAUGGCAUAAGCCAGCUUGACUGCGAGCGUGACGGCGCGAGCAGGUGCGAAAGCAGGUCAUAGUGAUCCGGUGGUUCUGAAUGGAAGGGCCAUCGCUCAACGGAUAAAAGGUACUCCGGGGAUAACAGGCUGAUACCGCCCAAGAGUUCAUAUCGACGGCGGUGUUUGGCACCUCGAUGUCGGCUCAUCACAUCCUGGGGCUGAAGUAGGUCCCAAGGGUAUGGCUGUUCGCCAUUUAAAGUGGUACGCGAGCUGGGUUUAGAACGUCGUGAGACAGUUCGGUCCCUAUCUGCCGUGGGCGCUGGAGAACUGAGGGGGGCUGCUCCUAGUACGAGAGGACCGGAGUGGACGCAUCACUGGUGUUCGGGUUGUCAUGCCAAUGGCACUGCCCGGUAGCUAAAUGCGGAAGAGAUAAGUGCUGAAAGCAUCUAAGCACGAAACUUGCCCCGAGAUGAGUUCUCCCUGAGACUUAGAGUCUCCUGAAGGAACGUUGAAGACGACGACGUUGAUAGGCCGGGUGUGUAAGCGCAGCGAUGCGUUGAGCUAACCGGUACUAAUGAACCGUGAGGCUUAACCUUACA
rnacentral:rRNA from 1 species